rnacentral:sRNA from 1 species
AUCGGACGGAAGGACGGACAUUGUCCUCGGCUCUAAAAAUUUGAUUCGCGCAAGUUUAGAUUUCAUCCAAAUUCAGAUUUCUUGAUAAUGAUAGUACAAUUUUUACUCAAUCAUACAUAACUUGAGACUUUUCUCCAUAAAAAAUAUUGAGAUGUACUUUGAACCGACACCUCGCAUGAAUUGAAACUGAUUUGUAUAAUUUGUAAGCACCAUAUUCAUCAUCAUAGAAGGAUGGGUUACAAACCAUUUCAGGUGCUUUAAAAAGAAUUUCGGAAUUUUAAAAUUCUAUAAAUAACUUUUUACGGUUAAAUAUGUCCGAUUACCAUUAGCUCUAGUGGAACUGGAUCUUUACAUAAUGGCGAGUUAUUAGCAAUCGUCACUAUUGAAAUUGUUAAAUCGUUACGCAUGAUUAAGAAUAUUUACACUAAUACGUUCUAUAUUAUCUCAAUCAAUAACGGCCCAUGUGAAAUCCUACACGCCCCUUCUGGACGAUUCCAAAUUCUUACCUGUUAUUCCGUUUAGUAGUUCAUACCUAUUCAGGUGUAGGCCUUAGUAGUGGCCAAUUAAGGAAUAAGCUUUGAUGUUCAUCUUUUGACACCUGAUAUCGAGUGACAAGGAAUUAAAGCACGUGGAGAUGUUCGCUACUUCCAGACUGCUGCUGCUAACCAGCUUACUACUGGGAGUGUCCGGUCAGCAGAUCUUUACAAAAUUCCGGGGCGAUUUCUUACUUUGGGAACUCUGGAAUCCUGACUUUUUAAACACUAGCUCAGAAAACUACAAAUCGUUAGAGGGCGACCUCCUCCAAGAAAUCAGCGACCUUUUUUCCAAUGUUCCAAAUUUUAAGACGGAAGGACUUAUAGGACUAAGGCAAGAUGAUGAAUACACUGAAGCCACGAUUAGUUUCGAGUUCAAUGAUCCUAUCACGGUGGAGAGAUUUCGAUACACAAUACAGGACGAGCUGACUACCAAUAACACCUUUUACAUCAUCCUAUCUAGCGCCAAAAAUAUACGCGGUAUUGAGGACCUUGUAACACAAGAGCCGCUGUCUGUCUCAUCCACUCUGCUACCAUCCGGUACAGUGUUUUCUGGGGACCUGUUGGUGACGUCCUUAUACGAUGGACAAUCAUCCGAGGGUAUACUUCCAGUAUCUUCCAGUCUUGAACUAUUACAGUCGUCAAUGUCGGAUGUCGUAUACGAUCCGUCUACCAGAAUGCACACGUUUUCAACAUCUUCUAAAGGGGCUACGAGUCAGAUGAAAUCAUCAUUCUACUCAUCGGAAUUAUCGUCAUCAAUGGAUUUCGACAUUCUUCCAUCUUUUACUGGUGUUGAUAUGACAUCAUCGUCUUCAGGUAUCGUAUUGCCCAGUGUGCACACUUCAUCCUUUCUGCUAUCGUCUGCUUCACCUGCUCCACUGCUCGACCUUUCUGUACUCAACUCCAGCACUUCAGCUUCCUCCUACUUCCACAGACCAACUGCCGCACUUAAAGAUCCUUCCUCUUACAGCAGCUACACGCUUUCUUCUUUCAGCUCAGCCUAUGUCAAAAACAGCAAUGUAACCUAUAGCUUUUCAUCUGAAUAUUCAAAAAAUGAAGACGUACAACUCAGCCCUUCAGCAACAGAGAGUGCAUUUCAAUCACUAGCAACUGUCAAUAAUAGUUUUGCUUUAGAUAAUUUUAAUAACAUUGCUAGCAGCUUUCUUUCUGAGUUUAUGACUAACAAUGUACACAAUGAGUAUAAAACAUCGUACCUGAUACCAAAUAGUCCAAUUUCGGCGACGGAAACGUUUCAUAACGUUGGAGUUGAACUCAUUUCUUCCAAUUGGCAUGACAAUGCACACAGCAAACUUCCCUCCUCUGUCACAGAGAGGGGAACGAUAGGAGACAAUCUCAAUACAAUCUCUCCGCCGUCCUCUCUAGGUGUUGGACUUAAAAAUGAAGAAAAUUUGAUACUGACGAACACAGUUGAUUCGAUGAAUUCUGUAUUUCAAUCGAGUAUGCCUUACUUGGCACAACACAGUUCUACAGAAGAGACGUCAAUAUUACAAACUGGGAUGGUACAACAUUUGGAAAGUGUAGUUCAAACUUUGGCGUCGAGCAUCUCGUCCACUAUUCCGCUUCCACAGAGAGCACUGUCUAUUGAACUGUCAACUGAAGCUCCCAGAAACGCUUUAACAACUAUGCAAAUGUCUGAUCACAAGCCAUCAUUAAUAUCAUUAGAUUUAUUUAGCACCGUAGUUUCACAUACAUCGAAAGAAGAUGCUUUAUCACAUACUAGAGGAUCGGCGGUCUUCAGCCCCGAGAUAGCUACAAAUACGUUGGUGGGAGAGGGUGAGGUUCCUUUCAAUGCUGAUAUUUUUGGAGACACACAACUGGAAGAUUUACUAAAUGCCAUUUUGUCUGAGAGGCAGCAAUCAGAAUCCUCAAGUCUAAUAUCUGACACCAUAAUUAGAAACAAAACAACUAGUGGUCUUGUUCCAAUUUCAACGCAGCUUGAAAUGUCAGAGUACAGCCAUUCCAAAGUUGAUGGUAUACUUAAAAGCACACGCUUACCCUCUACCACUAUGGACAGGCUGGCAUCAGUCACUCCCAGGCUGACACUAGGCACCACAGAUUCCACCCUGUCUCUCCCUGUCUCCAUGCUUACUCCCGACUCUAUCCAUGCCACAGCAACUCCUCAUCUAUCCGAUACGCAUCAUGUAAUCCCCACUACAAAAGAAAUGGUCACACAAUUUGAUCCAACACUGCCAGUUUUAUCAACUGAACCAUCAUCUUCCUCUUUGAAUGCCAUUGAUCCCAUUGCACAUUCUAUCUCAGCCAUAAUGUCGUCACACAUUGCAGAAGCUUCAAAUUCAAUAUUAUCCAAGACCUUUGAAGAGUCAGAAUUUUUUCGACCAAGUAUAGUUAUAUCGACAUCCAUUAUUUUGUCGGAGAACAAAAGUUCUUUAUCUUCUAAUGAAAUUAUAUCAUCCCCAAGUUCAGCAUUUCAUCAAAUGAAUUCAACAUCAUUAGAAGUACUAGAUUCCUCGAAAGACCAGCUGAGUACUUUAUUUGGUGUGUCCUCAAUACUGCUCGCAGCAAUGACGAAUUCUAGCGAAAUGUUUUAUACAACGUCUCUGAACCCGGCAAGCAGUCAAACCCAAAGUAAAAACUGGCUGUCAUCCAAAUCAUACAAUUUUCCAUCUUCCGUAUUGGUCUCAAACAAAACAUCUGAAGCAACAGAAUUGACUUCUUUAGUUGAGGAUCAUGUAACGUCCUAUUCCAUGAUGCAAACACACAGUAGUCAAGCUGUAUUAGAGUAUUCUACCUCUUUUAUUGCUCAAAAUUCACCAAUUCAUACAUUAAAAGAUGUAUCUUCUAAAGAAGUCACCACCAGCAACAUACUAAGCCCCAUUUUCUCAGAAGACGGAGAGAGUAGUAUGUAUACAAGCAUGUCUACUAAAGUUUAUCCAAGCAGAACAUCCACAGAUCUGCAACAAUCAAAAGCAUCACAGUUCACUUCGUCGAUAGAGUUUGUUGAGAGUAGUUCAAAUUCAACUCCACAACCUAGCUCUCGUGUGGCUAUACUGUCUUCUAGUAAUGUUAUAAGAACGGAACCAUUGACAACAACUCUCCCCUUGUCGACGACAUUCUUAUCGCCAUCAGUUACGGGUGUACAGUCGUCACCCUCUGCCUUUACCAGAUCAUCUGUAGAUUCUAAAUCAGUUGUUCUGUCAUCGGGUGUAAUAAAUCAACAAAGCACGGAUAAGGUAGUGUAUGUCCCGAGCAGUAUCUCCUCAUUUUCAACUGAUUUCUUGCCUGAAACUCAAACCUCUAAGAGUUCUGGAUACUCAACAGAUUUAAUGCCAUUGAUUCCCUCUGAUGAUACCUCAACGGAAACGAAGAUUUCUACAAAUAUAGAAAUCAAGCCCAGCUCGGAGCUUUUUUCUUCAAUGUCGACUUCAGCUCCUCUAGACUCAAGAAUCGAUUCCCAUGCUCAAUCAUUGUCCAGAUCGGAAAUAACAAGCAGAAUCUCAGAUUUGUCAAUUGUAACUCAUCCACCUUUGAAAUCAACAAUAAUUUCCUCAACGAAAUCUGAUUUUGAACUAGAAAGUCAGCAGGUGUCUAUAUCCAAGGAAAAUUUUCUGUCCUCGUUACAAGAUAUUUCAACUACAAAGAGUUCAUUAACUUUGAACUUUGCAAGAUCAACAUCGGUCCUAUUUUCUGUUUCAGAAGAGUCUAAAUUGUCUCCAAUUAGCGCAUUCGAUACAGAUGAGAUAGAAAGUACUUUGUCAAAAGUCCAACAUAAAACUAGUCUUGUUACUGACCUCUUCGAGCCUUCAUCAUCAGUUCAAACACAGUCCACACAUAUUUUAGGAACAUCCUAUUUUUCAAGCCACUCUGAGCAAUAUACGCUAUCCGUGCGGGACGAAAUUUCAACCAUGCUUUCAUCGUUAUAUUUUCCCGAUUCAUCUAUAUUAUCGUCAAUAGAACCUCCAACAGACCAAACUUCAACGAAAAUUAUUCCAUCUAGGUCUUCUAUCAUCGAAACAAGAUCAUCUUUAAAUGUAUCAGAAAUCGUUUUCUCUUCAACAAUGAAACUUACGUUAAAUUCUCCAAGUCUAACUACUGAUGAUUUUAAAACCGAAGAAAUUGGAUCUAAGACUGCAACGACCGAAGUUCAGUCUACAGCAGGGUCAAUAUUGUUGACACCAGAGGUACUUGAUUCAACAGCUUCCUUAGAAAUAUUAGAUUCAUCAUAUUUGAGGAGCUUUUCAUCAAUGAAAAGCAGCAUUUUACAACCAAAAGAAUCUACAAGUAUUAUGUCAUCUAAAAGAAUGGAGGAAACGUACCGUGAAAGCAGCUCGUUUACAUCUGUGUUACAGUCAAUGAUGACAAGCAGUACAUCUUCUUUUGUUGUUCCGUCUGAUUCUAUGUAUAGUUCAACUGAAUCUAACGGUUUCGUCUCCGACUAUCCUUUUAAGGUCUCGUUGAGUUCAGUAGACAAUUUGUCAUCGAGUAGCCAGUAUGACAAAUCUGUAACGCACUCCUCGGAUUCUGUUGAUACUACUCUUUUCUCAGAUAUCUUGGGUUCAGUAAGCACAUCAUUUUCCGUAAAGAAUGUCCAGAGUUCUGCCACAACAAGUACAGCAGACGGCACUGAGUUAUCAUCCAUGACUCAAUCGACAUUUAUCUCAUCGAACAGAUCCUCUGACAUCAGUGAGCACUUUAUUUCUCCAUCACAGAUAUCGACGACUGAUUUCCAGAGUGAACCCUCAAGCAUGUUAUCAAAAGCAAUAUCAAGUAUGACAAAAGAAAGCCAAUUGUUGAGCUCUUAUACACAGAUUUCGGAUGUUACUACAGUUUUAUCAUCAAAUACGGAACCAUCUAUAUUAGCUUCCGUAACAUCUGCGGGUUAUGUUUCUCGAUCAGCUUCUCUUGUCCUUACAACAUCAUUGCCACCGACAGUUAGUGAUACCUCCUCAGAAAUAGAACUGCAUUUAUCGUCACUCACGUCGAGUGAAGUUUCAUCAAUGAAGUCGACGGACUCGAUAACAGAAACAAAGAUGUUUUCACUAACACGCUCUCGUUUAUCGAGUGAUUUCACUGCAUCGUUUGAAGACUUAUCACGAGCAAGUCAGGUUUCGUCCUCGCCGUUAUUGUCCAGUGUUGCUUCGCUGUCCAUAUCGCCAACUGAUGUUUCAAAAUCUGCCUCAAAAUCAAUAUCCAUAACACCGACACAUGAAUCCUCUUAUACAGAGUAUAGACCAACGGAAGUCUCAACAACUGCACCAUCUUCUUCGGAGUUUGAUUUAUCUUCAGUUUUACCAUCAGGGGAACCCUCAGCAACAUCCGUUACACACAGCAAAGAACCAGUUUCUGAGAGCCGAAUAAUCUCUCUAGAAACGAGUCAUCUUGUUUUCUCUAGUGUAGUGUCUUCCUCUGUACCUGUAGAAACACAGGAUAUAUCUUCCUCUCUGAUGGUAACGAGCGCCUCCCCUACAGCACUGGUCUCUGAGAUACAACCCACCUCCACAGCAGAAGACAGUUCAACGACGGUCUAUGAAACAACAUCGUCAGCUUCAGUGACAACAAGGACGCCGCAACCAAUAUCACAGACAACAACAGCACCAACAACCACAACCUCUGUGCCGCGGCAGAUCGUGUCUGGAAAAGUGAGGAUGGUCAACCAGCAAUGGUUGUCUGAGUACGAGAAUACCAACUCGGCCUUGUAUCGUAUUAUAUAUGAACAAGUUCGGGCUACGCUAACGGAUGCAUACAGCCGAAGUUCUUACGGAAACCGUCUUGUUACCGUGUCUGAUAUUAUCUUUAGACCCGGAAGUAUUAUUGCUGAGUUCAGUGUGACGUUCUCUGGUGAGGAGGAGAUCGAUCCUGUCUUACUUGACCAGGACAUCAACGCUUUUGCGCAGAAUCUACCGGAAGAGUUUAGUAUUGAUCCCGAGUUUACCUCUCACGAAGCACUGACCACUGCUUCCACCUUGCCAUUCACAACAGCUGCACCGACAACAGCUGCACCGACAACAUCUGCACCGACAACAGCUGCUUCGACAACAUUAGCUGUUACAACUCCGUCCAGCACCACAGCUCCAGUUACCCAUGAUCCAACAGAAAAACCAGAAACAACCGAGAAAACAACCAUUCCGGUUACGACGGAAAAAGCGACCCCUUCUUCUGGUUCCUUUUCAUCUACGGACUCGGUAACAACACCUUACCUCGCAACCACGGAGGAAAUCAGGACAUUGAACCAGACAACACAGACUCCUGUGUCAGACACGGUCACAUCGACUACAGGACCGACAACUCUGCACCCAGUCACAACACAGACUGUUUUUACUGGUAGCCAGGAAACUAACGCAACAACAAAGUCCUACACAACAAGCAAUGUACAACAAACUACUCCUGAUAUAACAAAGCUCUCAACAGAGGCCGAAACAAGACCACCGACAACAACAACGAUAAUACCGACAACAACACCAACAACAACGACAGCAAUACCGACAACAACUACAGUGAUACCUACAAUAACGACUACAAAACCGACAACAACGGUGGGGACAACGGAGCCUCAAAUCACCCGGGUAUUUCAGGUGGAACUCCGCAUUCUGAACGAGCAGUGGGUGCCGGAGUACGCCGUGACAGGGUCUUUAGAGUAUGAAAACCUGAAUAGUGAAUACAAAGCCAUCCUUUAUUCUGUCUACGAUUUUGAUGCAAACUAUAUGGAACGAUUUUUGGAGAUCUCAAAUUUGCAAUUCAGACAAGGAAGCCUCAUCAUAUCCUACACUGUGACGUACCUAGGACGCGACCCUAUAAAUACCAAGGAUCUUGACGACGCGAUAAAUCAGGCCUUUACUUCUGGAAAUUUCCCCAACGCAGAAAUUGACUUAAGUUUUACCUCACAUCAAGAAUUAUCUUUUGAUGUCUCCACCACACCACAAACUACUGAUUUUACCCCAACAACUGAAAUGACAACACAAGAGAAGACAGAGGGUUCUGUGGUUCUCCAGGACUUUGAAGUGACUAUUAGGGUUGUUACUGAGGAGUGGAAUCCUUUAUACGCAGACCAAUCAAGCCAGUUCUACACAAACCUGUCUAUUGCUUACUAUACAUUUCUUUUCGAUACAUACUCUCUUGGUGUUUAUGCUGACCGUUUUGAGGGAAUCACUGAAGGGCUCAGAUUCAGCCCGGGGAGUGUCAUCAUGAACUUCGUGGUCACUUUCCUUGGCGGCGAGGAGGUGGACGUAUCGCUGCUCAACGAUGACGUCAACCAGGCCUUCAAAGAUGGAUUCUUUGGACCAGACGUAAUGAUUGAUCCCCUGUUCACCUCUCACAAAAGAAUUACACUAUUCUCGACAACACCAUCUGUUGUUAUACCAACAACGAGAAGUUCAACCACUCUAACUUGGAAUUCCAAGCUUUCUGACAUAGAUUCUGCAGAAUAUCUGACGCUGAAAGAUACCAUGUAUCAAAAGCUUUUAGCAGUUUACAAAAACAGUAUCUACAAAGACCGAGUCAUUGAUAUUGUGAACAUAACAUUCAGAGAAGGCAGUGUAAUUGUGGAUUACUCAGUACAGUUUACAGAAAAUGACUCUGUUCCCUUGGAGCAACUGAAUUCCAUUGUCAGUUCCGCUGUCAGUAACGACGCGUUUGGGCCUGACGUUAUAAUAGAUCCUGCAUCAAUUUCGCACAACAAAAUUCCCUAUAUUCCCACAUCUACUACUGAAGAAUCAACGGCCUUACCCGAGUCGACCACUGAAAUUCCGGUCACGCGCAGUGACUUCAUGGUACCUAACUGGGGGAUCGCCGUGAUCGUGUGUGGAGCCGUGGUGCUGGUCUUCCUUCUUGCCAUGAUCUGUGUCUUGUGUUCGAGGAGACACACGAAACAGAAAUACCGUAUGCCUGAAGACCCGGAUGACAUUGGUUAUAUUCGAAAGUCGAAUGGAAGUGAGUUUGCUUACGAUAACAAUAUUCCAAAAGAAACUAUGACGGUCGAUGAGGAAAUAAAAGCUCCCAACCAGGUGUACCAUCUGAAGACAUCGGACCUUCAGCAAAAUGCAGGACAAGAACUCCAGAAGAAUGGAAAUACGCAGGCGCAAGACGAUAAUACGACCAAUUUCUUCGGUACAGAGGAAUUUCAAGUUGAUGAAAUGCAUGAGCCAGGCCCAAUAAGUUCUGAUGAGAUUCAGCUACAGAUCACAGAUAACAAUACAGCAGCCUCGCCCCCCGCCCGCCCCGGGGAGGAAUCCGAGCCCAGCGAGGGGGAGCGACUAGAACUAGAGGAUCAUUUAAAGCAAAAACUACAGAGUUUUGAAAAGCUACGGUCAUCGACACGGAUAGCGUCACAGAGAGCAUGGGAAAGGCUCAGAGUGAAGUGGAAUCUUUGGACUUAGAUGAAAACAUGUUCGAAUCCCUCAAAGAAUUUCCAAGAACUAAUUACGAUGAAAAACAAGAUGUUUGGCAAACGCACCUAUAGAUCACGUGACUUGAUUGGUUCCACCAUUUUAUGAAGCUUCCAAAGAUUAGCAGCAUGUUUACAUGAGUCGGGAAUUUGAUCACGAAUUCUGUGUAACUUUGACAGAGAUUCUCCGUAUAACAUUCGCUUGCUAAUAUGAGCGAUAGACUUUUGUGCCCCUAUGUAAUAGUUCCCUAUCAUGUUCUGUUCAGUGUUUUGUUCCUCCAUUUUGAUAUUAUUACUUUUUUAUUUAUAUGCAUUACAUGUGUGACAUAUAAUCAAAACUUGGAGAUUACUGCAUUAUUUACGGAUUUGAAUAUAUCUUUAUUUUUGUAUUGUCGUGUUCACCGGGAUCUACCUGUCUGUCUGUCUGUCGGGGGAGGGCAUACUUCUAAUGAUUAUGAAUGUGGAAUAUAUGGAUUGUGUCAGGAAUGUGUGUCAGACAGUAUGUACAUAAGAUGAUUCGUUGACAGACAGUGCUGUGUGAUGACUGUAUGAUAUGUGACGUUCUCCACAAUGUCUCAGUUCCCUUGACAGCUAGUCGCACACUCGGAGGACGACUCUCGUCUGGUGAGCACGUUUGUGUAACUAUUGUGACUGUCUCCGUUUUUUUCGUCUCACUAGGAUCACGUGUCUUAUGUAAAGUGUCUCAAUAUGUGGUUAUGUUUAAACAGAUAAAGGACGCUUAUAAACGGCAAAGAGAUUAGAAUUAUGGAUUCUCCGAAAUGACUUUUAUUUACGUUUUGCACUGGGCAUUCAUUACAGAGACAUAGGUGGGGCCAGCUCGGUCCACGCUUUGUGGUCUGUGUAGCAUUAUUGUACUGUCUACCUAUGCAAAUAUUAUCUCAUUGUCUAUUGAAGCAAUACAUGAGUCAGGGUAUAAAAAUGACGUCAUUUAUCCAUUGUCAUAAAUUUACAACGAUAAAAUGUGCUAUGUCAUGGUACGCUAAUCCCUAAGAUCGAAUAUGACUGUAAUGUAUUUUUGUGAGAAUGGAAAAUGUAUAUAUGAAUUUGAAUAUAAUGCUGCUUUUAUUUAUAUGAUUUGUAUACCUUUGCGUGCAUGUGAACUCAAUGAGAUUUCAUCUUUAUAUUUAUACACCGAGGUUUAAAUAUU